CCGGAGGAGAUGAACUCGCCGGCGACAUCAACGUCCUCGUCGCGUGACAGGCUGACGACGUGGCCGCUCGACGUGCGGCGCGCGAACUUGACGGGCGUCUUCUUGGUCGGCGAUGAUGGCAUGGUACGUACAAUUCUCUUCCCCUUCUCCCUCUGGAUUACGGAUUCUUCCUAUCUAAGCUGCAUUGUUUUAUUUACUAUUUUCUCUGUUUUCUCGAGGGCAAAUUGGUUGAAAUGGUGGCAGCGCAAUGGACGAGGACGACAAAACUGGUGAUUCCAGCUGGAACAGAGCUGAUAAACUGAACACAAGUUUUUUAUGAUCACGACCCACUGUCUUCAAUCAUGUGGACGUCAGGUUUUGACAGUCAUCCCUAGAGUUCAUUCUUUUUGCAAGCCUUUGGCAUAUAGAUUUUAGUAGUUUCUUCAUCGCCAACACGAUCCUUUAUUGAUAGCCUCUGAAAUCAUGUAUAGUAUAAUACCUCUGAAAGCUAUUGUCUAGCAGGAAAUGAAGUUUAUUUGGUAGCCAAAGAUACUAUAUGUUUCAUGUUUGGAAUCUGUUUAUGUCAGUAAUCCUUUGUGUCACCCAGCUGGUCGUUUUGGGUAGCUGUUAUUGUUUAAACAGUACAAAUUCUACUAAUCAAGGAUUUUGAGUUUCAUCUAUUUA